GCCUGGGUGGCUCAGUCAGUUGAGCGUCUGACUUAGGCUCAGGUCAUGAUCUCACAGUUCGUGGGUUUGAGCCCUGCAUUGGGCU
rnacentral:tRNA from 1 species